rnacentral:rRNA from 1 species
GAUGAACGCUGGCGGCGUGCCUAAUACAUGCAAGUCGAGCGAACGGACGAGAAGCUUGCUUCUCUGAUGUUAGCGGCGGACGGGUGAGUAACACGUGGAUAACCUACCUAUAAGACUGGGAUAACUUCGGGAAACCGGAGCUAAUACCGGAUGAUAUUUUGAACCGCAUGGUUCAAAAGUGAAAGACGGUCUUGCUGUCACUUAUAGAUGGAUCCGCGCUGCAUUAGCUAGUUGGUAAGGUAAUGGCUUACCAAGGCAACGAUGCAUAGCCGACCUGAGAGGGUGAUCGGCCACACUGGAACUGAGACACGGUCCAGACUCCUACGGGAGGCAGCAGUAGGGAAUCUUCCGCAAUGGGCGAAAGCCUGACGGAGCAACGCCGCGUGAGUGAUGAAGGUCUUCGGAUCGUAAAACUCUGUUAUUAGGGAAGAACAUAUGUGUAAGUAACUGUGCACAUCUUGACGGUACCUAAUCAGAAAGCCACGGCUAACUACGUGCCAGCAGCCGCGGUAAUACGUAGGUGGCAAGCGUUAUCCGGAAUUAUUGGGCGUAAAGCGCGCGUAGGCGGUUUUUUAAGUCUGAUGUGAAAGCCCACGGCUCAACCGUGGAGGGUCAUUGGAAACUGGAAAACUUGAGUGCAGAAGAGGAAAGUGGAAUUCCAUGUGUAGCGGUGAAAUGCGCAGAGAUAUGGAGGAACACCAGUGGCGAAGGCGACUUUCUGGUCUGUAACUGACGCUGAUGUGCGAAAGCGUGGGGAUCAAACAGG